rnacentral:lncRNA from 1 species
UACAUAAAACAAUGUCUUAAAAACACCAGCAGCAGUGCAACUUAAUCAAGUUGAAUGCUCCUCCAUGUUGAAACAAAAAUGGCUGCCAACAUUUUCAAAUAGACCGGGGAACAAUAGAAUCGGAGGUUACCUGAUGCUUUUCAAAAUGUGUUUACUCUUUCUUCGUCAAGUGGGUAGUAAAUUUAAACAUGAUUAUACUGAAAAGUUUUUAUUAUCAACUUGACUCAACCUAGGGUCACCUGGGGAGAGGAAACCUAGACAGAGGAAUUGUCUUGAUCCAGUCGGCCCGUGGAUUUGUCUGUAAUGCUUUUUCUAUUUGCUGACUGCUGUAGGAGGGCCCUGGCCACUGUGAAUGGUGUCAUUCCUAGGCAGGGGGGGUGGAGGGGGUGUCCUGAGCUGUGUAAGAAAGCAGGCUGGGCAAGCCAGGUUGGAGAAAGCCAGGAAGCAGUUCCCCUCCACUGUCCUUUCCUCAGUUCCUGUCUCCAGGUUCCUGUCUUUACUUCCCUGGACGUUAAACUGCUAACCUGUACAGUAAAAUAAAUAAACUCUUUCCUCCCCGA